rnacentral:lncRNA from 1 species
UGAAAUAGAGUUUAAUAUACAUUAAUAAAAAUGCAGAAUGUGUUUAGAAAUUUAAAAACAACACUAAAGAUCAUAUGCUUCAGUAUAUAGAGCAUUUACCGAAAAUUCAAUAUUUUCGUAGGGGUUAACACCCAUAGAUUUUGAUAAAAAAAUUAAAAAAAAAUGAAAAUUCUAUUUUAAUGCAUAGUUCCAUGCUUCACUAAUAUAUGAUGAAGGUGAAAGAGGUUUGGAACCUUUGUUGUCUCCG